rnacentral:rRNA from 1 species
GAGAGAGACAUGCGCGCAUAUCAAUAAGCGGAGGAAAAGAAACUAACUAGGAUUCCCUUAGUAACGGCGAGUGAAGCGGGAAGAGCUCAAAUUUGAAAUCUUCAAGGUUCUACCUUGACGAAUUGUAGUUUAAAGAAGUGUUUUCGGUUAGAGGAGUUUAGGUAAAAGUUCUUUGGAAUAGGACAUCAUAGAGGGCGAGAAUCCCGUAUUUGGCCUAUUUCUUUCUAGCUGUGUGAUACACUUUCAAAGAGUCGGAUUGUUUGGGAAUGCAGUCCAAAAUGGGUGGUAAAUUUCAUCUAAAGCUAAAUAUUGGCGAGAGACCGAUAGCGAACAAGUACCGUGAGGGAAAGAUGAAAAGAACUUUGAGAAGAGAGUUAAACAGUACGUGAAAUUGUCAAAAGGGAAGCGUUUGACACCAGUGUUGUUUUUUCCGAAAAUCGAUUACGAAUGUUUUGUUUUUGAGAAGUUAUGACUUCAUCGGCUUGCUUCUUUCUUUACGAAACUUUCUUAAUGCACUUUUCGGUUAACAAGUCAACAUCAAUUUCUUUUGUUGUAAAAGGGUACGAGGAAGGUGGCUUUCUUUUCGGAGAAAGUGUUUAUAGCCUUGUGCCUCUGCAAUCGGAGAGAUUGAGGUCUGCAGCGUAGAUCCUUCGGGGUUAGAUACAUUUGUGCUAAGUUAUAGCUUUUCAUAGACAACUUGUUGACUAUGUUUAGUCUUGUAGCUUACUCGCUUAUGCUAUUUUACCUACGCUUAGGAUGUUGACAGCAGUAUAGACUGU